rnacentral:rRNA from 1 species
UACGUAGGGUGCGAGCGUUGUCCGGAAUUACUGGGCGUAAAGAGCUCGUAGGUGGUUUGUCGCGUUGUUCGUGAAAACCGGAGGCUCAACCUCUGGCGUGCGGGCGAUACGGGCAGACUUGAGUACUGCAGGGGAGACUGGAAUUCCUGGCGUAGCGGUGGAAUGCGCAGAUAUCAGGAGGAACACCGGUGGCGAAGGCGGAUCUCUGGGCCGAUACUGACGCUGAGGAGCGAAAGCGUGGGGAGCGAACAGG